UCCCUUCGGGGGACUAGUAGAGUGGCGCACGGGUGAGUAACACGUAGGUAAUCUACCUUCGGGCGGGGAAUAACAACCGGAAACGGUUGCUAAUACCGCAUAAUGCAGCGGCACCUAAUGGUGACAGUUGUUAAAGCGGGGGAUCGCAAGACCUCGCACCUGAAGAGGAGCCUGCGGCGGAUUAGCUAGUUGGUAGGGUAACAGCCUACCAAGGCAACGAUCCGUAGCCGGCCUGAGAGGGCGGUCGGCCACACUGACACUGAUAUACGGGUCAGACUCCUACGGGAGGCAGCAGUCGGGAAUUUUGGGCAAUGGGCGAAAGCCUGACCCAGCAACGCCGCGUGAAGGAUGAAAUCCCUCGGGAUGUAAACUUCGCAAGAACGGGAAGAAUAAGUCGGUGUGAAUAUCACCGACGAUGACGGUACCGUUUGUAAGCUCCGGCUAACUCCGUGCCAGCAGCCGCGGUAAUACGGGGGGAGCAAGCGUUGUUCGGAUUUACUGGGCGUAAAGGGCGCGUAGGCGGCCUCCGCAAGUCAAUUGUGAAAUCUCCGGGCUUAACUCGGAAAGGUCAACUGAUACUGCGGGGCUAGAGUGCGGAAGGGGCAACUGGAAUUCUCGGUGUAGCGGUGAAAUGCGUAGAUAUCGAGAGGAACACCUGCGGCGAAGGCGGGUUGCUGGGCCGACACUGACGCUGAGGCGCGAAAGCUAGGGGAGCGAACGGGAUUAGAU
rnacentral:rRNA from 1 species